UNUGACUUGAGUGCAGAAGGGGAGAGUGGAAUUNCAUGUGUAGCGGUGAAAUGCGUAGAUAUAUGGAGGAACACCAGUGGCGAAAGCGGCUCUCUGGUCUGUCACUGACGCUGAGGCUCGAAAGCGUGGGUAGCGAACAGGAUUAGAUACCCUGGUAGUCCACGCCGUAAACGAUGAGUGCUAGGUGUUAGGCCCUUUCCGGGGCUUAGUGCCGGAGCUAACGCAAUAAGCACUCCGCCUGGGGAGUACGACCGCAAGGUUGAAACUCAAAGGAAUUGACGGGGGCCCGCACAAGCGGUGGAGCAUGUGGUUUAAUUCGAAGCAACGCGAAGAACCUUACCAGGUCUUGACAUCCCGAUGCUAUUCUUAGAGAUAGGAAGUUACUUCGGUACAUCGGAGACAGGUGGUGCAUGGUUGUCGUCAGCUCGUGUCGUGAGAUGUUGGGUUAAGUCCCGCAACGAGCGCAACCCUUAUUGUUAGUUGCCAUCAUUAAGUUGGGCACUCUAGCGAGACUGCCGGUAAUAAACCGGAGGAAGGUGGGGAUGACGUCAAAUCAUCAUGCCCCUUAUGACCUGGGCUACACACGUGCUACAAUGGUCGGUACAACGAGUUGCGAGCCGGUGACGGCAAGCUAAUCUCUGAAAGCCGAUCUCAGUUCGGAUUGGAGGCUGCAACUCGCCUCCAUGAAGUCGGAAUCGCUAGUAAUCGCGGAUCAGCACGCCGCGGUGAAUACGUUCCCGGGCCUUGUACACACCGCCCGUCACACCACGAGAGUUUGUAACACCCGAAGUCGGUGAGGUA
rnacentral:rRNA from 1 species